GAAAAAAAGAGAUUGUUUUUGAGUGAGUUUGAUCUUGAAAAUAAAAUCAUUGUGAGGAUGCAAUCUGUGAUAAUGUUUGGUAGAGGGGGAGAGAUUUCUUGGGUUUUUCUCUGUGCUUUUAGAGCCGUCCAAGAUAUUUUUUUUGUUCAACUCUCAUUUGUACUGCUAAGUUAUAUAAUUAUUGUCAAUGCAAGUCUGAUAAGUUUUGC
rnacentral:misc_RNA from 1 species